UACGUAGGGACCAAGCGUUGUUCGGAUUUACUGGGCGUAAAGGGCGCGUAGGCGGCAAUUCAAGUCAGCUGUGAAAUCUCUGGGCUUAACCCAGAACGGCCAGCUGAUACUGCUUUGCUAGAGUGCAGAAGGGCAAUCGGAAUUCUUGGUGUAGCGGUGAAAUGCGUAGAUAUCAAGAGGAACACCUGAGGUGAAGACGGGUUGCUGGGCUGACACUGACGCUGAGGCGCGAAAGCCAGGGGAGCAAACGGG
rnacentral:rRNA from 1 species